rnacentral:rRNA from 1 species
AACGAACGCUGGCGGCAUGCCUAACACAUGCAAGUCGAACGAGACCUUCGGGUCUAGUGGCGCACGGGUGCGUAACACGUGGGAAUCUGCCCUUUGCUUCGGAAUAACAGUUAGAAAUGUCUGCUAAUACCGGAUGAUGUCGAAAGACCAAAGAUUUAUCGGCAAAGGAUGAGCCCGCGUAGGAUUAGGUAGUUGGUGGGGUAAAGGCCUACCAAGCCGACGAUCCUUAGCUGGUCUGAGAGGAUGAUCAGCCACACUGGGACUGAGACACGGCCCAGACUCCUACGGGAGGCAGCAGUGGGGAAUAUUGGACAAUGGGCGAAAGCCUGAUCCAGCAAUGCCGCGUGAGUGAUGAAGGCCUUAGGGUUGUAAAGCUCUUUUACCAGGGAUGAUAAUGACAGUACCUGGAGAAUAAGCUCCGGCUAACUCCGUG